rnacentral:rRNA from 1 species
UACGUAGGGUGCGAGCGUUGUCCGGAUUUAUUGGGCGUAAAGAGCUCGUAGGCGGUCUGUCGCGUCGGAUGUGAAAACCCAGGGCUCAACCCUGGGCCUGCAUUCGAUACGGGCAGACUAGAGUACGGCAGGGGAGACUGGAAUUCCUGGUGUAGCGGUGAAAUGCGCAGAUAUCAGGAGGAACACCGGUGGCGAAGGCGGGUCUCUGGGCAUUAACUGACGCUGAGGAGCGAAAGCAUGGGGAGCGAACAGG